UGGGUUGUGGCUCAGUGGUAGAGCACUCGCCUAGCAUGUGCGAGGCCCUGGGUUCAAUCCUCAGCACCACAU
rnacentral:tRNA from 1 species